AUGCAAUAUUUGUCUGGCUGAAUAAUUGUACAAUUUCCUGUAAAUUUAUAGUAUGGGCCAUGUUCUCUCUUUUAAUGUGAAGGCAAACCCCUCAUAGAUGCAUGCCCAAAUCUGCUUUUUGGGCUAAUGAAGUAUUCAAGUUACAAACUGUGCUUUUCAUAAUUUAUCAUGCACAUGAAACCAUUGGAUUGUGGACGAUUUAAGUUAGCAGGU
rnacentral:misc_RNA from 1 species